rnacentral:rRNA from 1 species
UACGUAGGGUGCGAGCGUUAAUCGGAAUUACUGGGCGUAAAGCGUGCGCAGGCGGUUUUGUAAGCCCGAUGUGAAAGCCCCGGGCUCAACCUGGGAAUGGCAUUUGGGGCUGCAAGGCUUGAGUGCGGCAGAGGAGACUGGAAUUCCUGGUGUAGCAGUGAAAUGCGUAGAUAUCAGGAGGAAUACCGAUGGCGAAGGCAGGUCUCUGGGCUGACACUGACGCUCAUGCACGAAAGCGUGGGGAGCAAACAGG